AGCCAGGAACCAUGCAAAUGAACGCCGCCUAACUCCGCCAGGUUCGGAAGGAAGCAACGGUAAGCGGAUGGUUAUUGUGCCGUGGCCUCCCUGGUUGCG
rnacentral:SRP_RNA from 1 species